rnacentral:rRNA from 1 species
CGCGUAGGCGGCUUAGUAAGUCGGAUGUGAAAGCCCCGGGCUUAACCUGGGAAUUGCAUUCGAUACUGCUGAGCUAGAGUAUGGUAGAGGGAAGUGGAAUUUCCGGUGUAGCGGUGAAAUGCGUAGAUAUCGGAAGGAACACCAGUGGCGAAGGCGACUUCCUGGGCCAAUACUGACGCUGAGGUGCGAAAGCGUGGGGAGCAAACA